rnacentral:rRNA from 1 species
UGGAUUCUGAGACACGAAUCCAGGCCCUACGGGGCGCAGCAGUCGCGAAAACUUCACAAUGGGGGCAACCCCGAUGAGGGAAUUCCUAGUGCUAGCACAAUUGUGUUAGCUUUUCUCUAGCGUAGAUAACUGGAGGAAUAAGGGCUGGGAAAGACGGGUGCCAGCCGCCGCGGUAAUACCUGCAGCCCAAGUGGUGGUCGAUUUUAUUGAGUCUAAAACGUUCGUAGCCGGUUCGAUAAAUCUUUGGGUAAAUCGGGGGGCUCAACCUUCCGACUUCCGAGGAGACUGUCGAACUUGGGACCGGGAGAGGCUAGAGGUACUUCUGGGGUAGGGGUAAAAUCCUGUAAUCCUAGAAGGACCACCGGUGGCGAAGGCGUCUAGCUAGAACGGAUCCGACGGUGAGGGACGAAGCCCUGGGUCGCAAACGGGAUUAGAUACCCCGGUAGUCCAGGGUGUAAACGCUGCAGACUUGGUGUUGGAAGCCCUUUGGGGGCAUUCAGUGCCGGAGAGAAGUUGUUAAGUCUGCUACUUGGGGAGUACGUCCGCAAGGAUGAAACUUAAAGGAAUUGGCGGGGGAGCACCGCAACGGGAGGAGCGUGCGGUUUAAUUGGAUUCAACACCGAAAAACUCACCAGCAGCGACUGUUACAUGAAAGUCAGGUUGAUGACCUUACUAGAUUUUCAGAGAGGUGGUGCAUGGCCGUCGUCAGUUCGUACCGUAAGGCGUUCUCUUAAGUGAGAUAACGAACGAGACCCUCACCAAUAUUUGCUACUCCGUUCUCCGGAACGGAGGCACAUUAUUGGGACCGCUGGCGCUAAGUCAGAGGAAGGAGAGGUCAACGGUAGGUCAGCAUGCCCUGAAUCUCCUGGGCUACACGCGCGCUACAAAGGGCGGGACAAUGGGUUCCGACACCGAAAGGUGAAGGCAAUCUCGAAACCCGUCCGUAGUUCGGAUUGAGGGUUGUAACUCACCCUCAUGAAGCUGGAUUCCGUAGUAAUCGCGAAUCAACAACUCGCGGUGAAUAUGCCCCUGCUCCUUGCACACACCGCCCGUCAAACCAUCCGAGUUGGGUUUCAGUGAGGCUGCCUCUAACUAGGGUUGUUGAACUGAGAUUUAGCAAGGAAGGUUAAGUCGUAACAAGGUAUCUGUA